CAGUGAUUUGGCCGUAUAGACAGAGAGAUAUGUCUCCGGGUUUUGAAGAAAAACCGAGAUCUUCUCGUGGUGCCUGGGUGUUGGAUGUCUCCAUCAAAGUAAGGUUUCUAGCGUCAGUUAGAAUGAAAAUUGUAUGGUGUUCGAUUAGAUUAAAUCACGAAGAUGAUUUUAUGAUGGUUCAAUGAUAGAUUAUUUCCUCUGUUGUUGUUUACGUGGCGCCACUUAUAGUGUUCCUGUGUUCUUCCUUCUGUGUUCUUCCUUCCUUCAGCGUUAAGUCUGUGCUAUUCACAGUAUUAAAUUCGUCAUGUUUCUUGUUUUGAUAGGUUGUUUCGCUAUUGCAUGUAUCUGUUGUUUACGUGUUGGCUAGGAGUUGCAGGUUUGGCUCUCUAUUAAUGCUAGCUGUUGAUUGUGAUGUUUCUCAUUAUUUCCUUAUGUCUAUGCUAUUCACUUAAUAAGAAAUUGAUUAAUUAAAAGUUGCGUAUUGUUGGAAUAAUCGACUUAUCUUCCCUAUUGCGCUCGAAAUGUUCAUAACUGUCACAAAACAGGCCGUACGCCUCCCGUCUUCAACAAAUCAGUGCAGAUAUUAUUAGAGCUGGUUGUUGACUAGGAGCGUGCUAUGGGGUGAAGAUCAUUUUUUUUACAUAUUUUCUGCGUUGGAUUCAUAAAACAAAGUAAGGUUUGUAGUGUCUCUUAGAAUGAAAAUUGUAUGGUGUUUGAUUAUAUUAAGUCACGAGGAUGAUUUUAUGAUAGUUAAAAUGAUAGAUUAUUCUCCUCUGUUGUUUGGUUAAGAAUAUCUUCUUUGAUUAAAUGUGGUGUUAUAGAUUUUAUUUCCUCUUGUGUUCGUGUCGUUCUUGUCGUUCGUGUCCCAUGGUCUUCCAGGGUCUCUGCUGUUCACAAUUAAUUACAUACAUCUAUCGGCACUUGUAGUUAUAAUCCUGUGAGAUUCUCUUUCAGAUUAUUGUUGCUAUAAUUCAAGUAUGAUUGUUGAUAUUAAAAUGUCUCUUUAUUCAGAUUAUCCAGUGUGGCCGCAGUAUUGUAUGUAUUAAUGAAAGUAGAUUAUGAUAAUAAAUGAGAUUCUCUUUCAGAUUAUUGGGGUCCACCGCCGUCUCAGUGUAUGUAUUAUUGAAAGUAGAAUAUGAUAUUAAAUUAUAUUCUCUUUCGGAUUAUUGUUGCUAUAAUGGGAGUAUGAUUGUUGAUAUUAAAAUGUAUCUUUUUCAAAUUAUCCAGUGUGGCCGCAGUAUUGUACGUAUUAUUGAAUGCGAAUGUAGUUUCAUAUAAUAAUAAGUAAUCUUUCAGGUCGUUGGUGCGGGGCUCCGUAAGUGAACAAUUGGUCGUGAAGGUUUUUCGGCUUGGUUUUUCUCCUUCACCUGAUUGGCAUUACAAUUGGCAGUACAACUGGUACAAUUCACAGCACUAUUGGCUUUAAUAAAUAUAUUUCAACUUGUA